UCGUGAGUCGCUGUAAGCCGUAAGGCUGGGCGACUGGCUCCCUGUCAUUCAGGACGAAUGGCGCGGAGUUUCACCAGAAAAAGGAA
rfam:Pseudomonas sp. TTT2014-080ASC scaffold_0, whole genome shotgun sequence.